CGACGCAAACGCGUCAUUCCGCGAAGCCCCGCCCCCCGAGCAGGAGCGCUCGGGUGGAAGAGAGAGGGAGGAGAGGACUGGAGAAGAUAACCAUCGACGGAGGAGGCGGCCGGCCCGCGGGACCCGAAGAGCGGCAAGUUGGGCAGCUGGUGUGGGAAUCACAGUGAAUAUUCAUAUUCAGAACAGCACAACAAACACUGAGCAACAUAUGAAACCAGGUGAAAGAUUUCAGUGAUUCUUCAUAAUCUGAUGUGUAAUCCAAGAGAGGUAUGGUUGUCAUGCCACAGAGUUAGCCAUUGCAGAUGAAGACUGAGCAAACAUGCUCCACAGUUGAAGACAACACCAAACUGUUGUCCACUGAUGAACCUGUAGUUGAUAUGGCAAGGACAUCUUUCUUUCGACAGUUAAUUUGUUUUGAAUUGUAAUUAUUUGUUGUGAUGGAAUAAAUUGACUU